rnacentral:rRNA from 1 species
CCUACGGGAGGCAGCAGUGGGGGAUAUUGCACAAUGGGGGGAACCCUGAUGCAGCGACGCCGCGUGGGUGAAGGAGCGUUUCGGCGCGUAAAGCCCUAUCGGCAAGGAAGAAGAUGACGGUACCUGACCAAGAAGCCCCGGCUAACUACGUGCCAGCAGCCGCGGGAAUACGUCGGGGGCAAGCGUUAUCCGGAUUUACUGGGUGUAAAGGGGGCGCAGACGGCAAUGCAAGCCAGGAGUGAAAGCCCGGGGCCCAACCCCGGGACUGCUCUUGGAACUGCAUGGCUGGAGUACAGGAGGGGCAGGCGGAAUGCGUAGUGUAGCGGUGAAAUGCGUAGAUAUUAGGAGGAACACCGGUGGCGAAGGCGGCCUGCUGGACUGUGACUGACGUUGAGGCCCGAAGGCGUGGGGAGCAAACAGGAUUAGAUACCCGGGUAGUC